GCCGUCGGCUCCUCUCAAAUGAAUCAGCUUGCCAGUGUUUGGUGGCGUCACGGGUGUGAUAACUAUCUACGCUUGUGGUUUUCUGCCAUGUAGCCUUCAGUGAUGGAGGCUCGCUGGAGCUCAUAGAUGUCUCUCCUCAGCAAAGACAGUUUUUGUGAACGUUUGAUCUCAAAUCAGGUAGGACUACCCGCUGAACUUAA
rnacentral:misc_RNA from 1 species